GGACCCGCACAAGUAGUGGAGCAUGUGGUUUAAUUCGAAGAUACGCGCAGAACCUUACCAACACUUGACAUGUUCGUCGCGACUUUAAGAGAUUAAAGUUUUCGGUUCGGCCGGACGAAACACAGGUGCUGCAUGGCUGUCGUCAGCUCGUGUCGUGAGAUGUUGGUUAAGUCCCGCAACGAGCGCAACCCUCACUUUUAGUUGCCAUCAUUUAGUUGGGCACUCUGAAAGAACUGCCAGUGAUAAGCUGGAGGAAGGUGGGGAUGACGUCAAGUCCUCAUGGCCCUUACGUGUUGGGCUACACACGUGCUACAAUGGCAGGUACAGAGGGUUGCCAACCCGCGAGGGGGGAG
rnacentral:rRNA from 1 species